UACGUAGGACCCAAGCGUUAUCCGGAAUUACUGGGCGUAAAGAGUUGCGUAGGUGGUUUGUUAAGCGGGCAGUGAAAUCGUGUGGCUCAACCAUACACACAUUGUCUGAACUGGCAAACUUGAGUGAGAUAGAGGUAACUAGAAUUCCAAGUGUAGGAGUGAAAUCCGUAGAUAUUUGGAGGAAUACCGAUGGCGUAGGCAGGUUACUGGAUCUCAACUGACACUAAGGCACGAAAGCGUGGGGAGCAAACGGG
rnacentral:rRNA from 1 species